rnacentral:tRNA from 1 species
GACCGCGUAGCUCAACUGGACAGAGCGUCCGAUUACGGAUCGGAAGGUUGCAGGUUCGAGUCCUGCCGUGGUCACCA